GUUUUUAUAGUUUAAAUUUAAAACAUUGGUCUUGUAAAUCAAAAAUAAGAUUAUUCUUUAUUAACU
rnacentral:tRNA from 1 species